ACAAAACGAAACCCUAGCAGAAACACUCCUCCAUGAAAACAACUCCCUAGCGAGGCUUUUCUUCAAAUUCAUGGAGGCUCCACCGGCGUUGGCACCGCCUCGCCGCCGAUUUCGAUUUGCAUGACCACCACGAUCCUUAUUCUAGAAGAAAAUCGUUCGCGUUCGUGUCAUCAUCACAGUUCACCUCGGUUCACCAGUACUGCAUUUUUGCCACCAUCGUCGCGACUCUGUUUAGAUCCUUCGCGUUGUGUGGUCGCGUCUGGCCUCUCUCCUCCGUUUGAGAUCCGUUGCUCGCGCGUCUCUGCCUAUGCGUCUGUUCGAGUUGCGCUUACUGUUCGUGUCAUCUCCCUCCUCGCAUCUGUUCGAGUUGUGCAACCUUGUUCAUCUUUUUCAAGCACAGAAUCUUCUUCUUCAGCACCAAAUUGAUUUUAUCCAUGGCGCAGCUAGGACAUCAUGUGGGAUACAUAUAUACUCUGUCUCAGGUCCAAACUCUUCGAACCAAAAUGCCUUCGGCCUAAGUUUGUGCGUGCCAAAAGCCUAAAACCUUAUGCUGGAUUGCUGGAUGGGUAAUGUGGGCUAAGGGCAACAGGUUCAAUCAUUCUAUGGAGCAAGUGAGAAAGAGCCAAAUACAAAUGCUAUGUGCCUCUGGCAUAUUAUCUAUCUGUCCACUACUUCAGGAAUGACGGGUUUGCCUAGAUAAACCUGUUGCAUCUCAUCUCUCCAAAUCUGCAAGGACAUCAAUUAUACACAUAGCUUCAACAAUGGAUCCCAAACAGAAGAUGAGAGUUAUUGCCUGCUUGAUUUUUCUAUGUAUGAAGUUGUCUAUUGUAACAUUGAUUUCACUUUAUUGAUGUGUUUGUGUUCUUGUACAAGAGUUGUGCAUGUAACUUUAACUUUUGAGACUUCUUUGUAACUUUAAUUUGGAUAAGAGUAAAGCUUUUUAAUACAUAUGUGGUUAGAACCGUUGAGAUUUAUUUUA